AGUGGCUCGUGAUCAGUUUCAGGCUUGUCCAUGACGUCACUUUUCACAAAGGAUAAUAUUAUCGUCCUAAAACGACAGUUCUUACCUGACAAUGCCCAGGGCCACGCCAGCAUAGUCCAGGGCAGGCCUGGUCAGCCUGUCCGGCCGCAUGCCGAACCAACCGAACCUCCCGCUGAACCAGCCCGUCAGCAGGCACCAGGGUGGUCCCAAAGAACACACACGACACAGCUGCUGCAAUGAACCCGAUGUAGGCUUCGUCUUUAGUGUAGUUACUUGGCUGUAUGUGAGCCGCG